UCACUUCAGGAGUCCAUGAACUAAAACUGGAAUUAGCCAGAGAAGUUAGCCUGGCCCCUCUGCAAACAUAAUAUUGAUCCAUGAAGUGUUCCAUAUUUAA
rnacentral:snRNA from 1 species